UCCAAACUCCACUGUCGAAUGACCCCCUGCCGGAUUUCGCAAGAAAUUGGACCUCUCCGACAGACAAUCUUCAGAUGAGCUUCCACAUCAGGCAAAUCCCAGACGGACUUCUCUGGCAAUCAGACUUCUACCGAACUUCACCAACAGAAAGUCCCUGUCUGAGCUUCUACAGCAGAUGACUCCCGCCUAUAGCAUCAGUGCCCAAGGCAUCCGACAACAGUAGACUCGUCAGCUACCUCAGAAACAUCCUAGCUUCUCUUGGAUUGCUGAGAUAGAAAAUCAUUCCGCUCCAUCAGACGUCCCAGUCGAGCUUC
rnacentral:lncRNA from 1 species